UCGGAGGCGUGGCGACCGGGCGGCGGCGCGGCAGUGCUCCAGCAGGCGCGGCCCGCGGCAUGGUCCCUCGCCGGCGGGACCAAGUGGUGGGCGCCCCUGCCGCGCGUCCUCGCGGCGCCCCCUCGCCGGCGCCCCCGCGCUCCGGAUCUCGCCCUCCCCGCAGUGGCCGGCGGCGUGGAUCCGCCUCCUCCCUGGCCGGCUCGGGUCCAUGGCAUCCAUGGCCGGCGAGGUCCUCCUCUCUCACCUCCGACCGGCCGCCGGCGCGUGCGUCCUCCUCCAUCCUCCGGCGCCCGUCCUCCUCCGCGCGCGGAUCUGGGCGCCAGCGCUGCUGUUGUCUUUGGAGGCGGGGGCCGUGGUACCCAUCCAUGCUGCGGUACCCUAGGACGGCUGUGGUCGCCGGCAAAACAGGAGAAGGAGGAAGAAGCGUGUGCAACCUGGAGGCGGCGGAGGUGAGGGAGAAUGUGACGGUGUUUGGCGGUGAUCGAGCUGACAUGCGUCGCGUGUGCGGGUUCGGUGGAGAAGGCCAUGAAGCGUCUCCCAGGUCGAUCUGUGCGCUGCCAUCAUCGACAUCCUUGGUCUUCUAUGCCUUCGUCGGCCAAUGCUGUUUUCUACCGAUUCAAUCCAUUGAGCUCCUUGUCAAAAUCCAUGGCCGAUCCAGUUGAUGGUUUGAGCAUGCACAACAUGGUGAGGGCCGAGGGCUGAGGGCCGCGAAUGCUAUCAUCCUGGAGGCGGGAGCAGGCAUCCACUUGUAAACUGAGGGGCUUCAGCACCAAAGGGAGGAUGUGGUGUCAUUGCCGAAUGGUGUAUUUGCCAAUGUGUUACAUUUACGGGAAGAGGUUUGUCGGCAGAAUCACGCCACUUGUGUUGGAAUUAAGAAAGGAACUCUUCAAAGACCCUUACAGCAAGAUUGAUUGGGACAAGGCCCGCAAUCAAUGUGCUAAGGAAGAUCUGUACUAUCCACACCCAUUCGUUCAAGAUGUCUUAUGGGCUACACUCCAUAAAUUUGUCGAACCAGUUAUGUUGCAUUGGCCUGGGAGCAAAUUAAGAGAGAAAGCUCUGGAAACUGUCAUGCAGCACGUUCACUAUGAAGAUGAGAACACUCAGUACAUUUGCAUUGCUUCUGUAAACAAGGUAUUAAAUAUGCUUGCUUGCUGGAUUGAAGAUCCAAACUCAGAGGCAUUCAAGCACCACAUUCCGCGAGUCUAUGAUUACUUGUGGCUUGCUGAAGAUGGCAUGAAACUGCAGGGUUAUAAUGGCAGCCAGCUUUGGGAUACAGCUUUCACAGUUCAAGCUAUUGUGGCUACCAACCUUAUUGAAGAGUUUGGUCCCACCCUUAAACUAGCACACGACUACAUUAAGAAUUCACAGGUUCAUGAUGACUGCCCUGGAAAUCUGGAUGACUGGUACCGCCACACAUCUAAAGGUGCAUGGCCAUUCUCUACUGCUGAUCAUGGUUGGCCUAUAUCAGAUUGCACUGCAGAGGCACUGAAGGCCUCAUUAUUGUUAUCAAAGAUAUCUCCUGCAAUUGUUGGCGAGUCGCUGGAAGCUAAAAGAUUUUAUGAUGCUGUCAGCUGUCUGAUGUCUUAUAUGAAUGAUAAUGGUGGUUUUGCGUCAUAUGAACUCACAAGGUCUUAUGCCUGGCUGGAGCUUAUUAAUCCUGCUGAGACCUUUGGCGACAUUGUGAUUGAUUACCCGUAUGUUGAAUGUACAUCAGCAGCGAUUCAGGCCCUGACAUCGUUCAGAAAGCUCUACCCUGGGCACCGCAGGAAAGAGGUUGACAACUGUAUCAGCAAAGCUGCUAGUUUCAUUGAGAGAAUUCAGAAAAGCGACGGCUCAUGGUAUGGCUCUUGGGCUGUCUGUUUCACCUACGGCACUUGGUUUGGUGUGAAGGGAUUAGUUGCUGCUGGUAGGACAUUCGAGAACUGUCCUGUAAUCAGAAAGGCAUGCGAAUUUCUGUUAUCAAAAGAACUUCCUUCUGGUGGUUGGGGAGAAAUCUAUUUGUCGUCUCAAGACCAGAUUGCGGCACAAGUGGCACUUGGUAAUUCUUGCCUUCUUGGAAUGCUUAACUCGGUAGUGAGUAAAAAACAAUGGGGUUUACACCAAUCUCAAAGGCAAGCGAGCUCAUGCAGUGAACACUGGUUGGGCCAUGCUGUCACUGAUUGGUGCAGGACAGGCUGAGAGAGAUCCAACACCUCUACACCGAGCAGCAAAGGUUUUGAUCAACUUGCAAUCAGAGGAUGGAGAAUUUCCUCAGCAAGAAAUCAUUGGAGUCUUCAACAAGAACUGCAUGAUCAGUUACUCCCAGUGGAGGAACAUCUCAAUUUGGGCUCUGGGAGAGUACCGGUGCCAAGUCCUGGGCGCUGGCAAGCAGUAGUGUUCCACUCCAUGGCUCUAUGCUGUGUUGGAAUUUGUGGGCUUGGUCUAAUAAUAUUUCAGCUAUUUCAAAUAAAAUCUCAAAGGCUCAUAUGGGCAUGAGGAA